rnacentral:rRNA from 1 species
AUUGAACGCUGGCGGCAGGCCUAACACAUGCAAGUCGAACGGUAACAGGAAGCAGCUUGCUGCUUCGCUGACGAGUGGCGGACGGGUGAGUAAUGUCUGGGAAACUGCCCGAUGGAGGGGGAUAACUACUGGAAACGGUAGCUAAUACCGCAUAAUGUCGCAAGACCAAAGAGGGGGACCUUCGGGCCUCUUGCCAUCGGAUGUGCCCAGAUGGGAUUAGCUUGUUGGUGAGGUAACGGCUCACCAAGGCGACGAUCCCUAGCUGGUCUGAGAGGAUGACCAGCCACACUGGAACUGAGACACGGUCCAGACUCCUACGGGAGGCAGCAGUGGGGAAUAUUGCACAAUGGGCGCAAGCCUGAUGCAGCCAUGCCGCGUGUAUGAAGAAGGCCUUCGGGUUGUAAAGUACUUUCAGCGGGGAGGAAGGGGUUAAGGUUAAUAACCUUAGCCAUUGACGUUACCCGCAGAAGAAGCACCGGCUAACUCCGUGCCAGCAGCCGCCGCCG